rnacentral:tRNA from 1 species
GCCUGGCGGGCUCAGUCAGUAGAGCAUGUGACUCUUGAUCUUGGGGUCGUGAGUUCAAGCCCCAUGUUGGGUG